rnacentral:rRNA from 1 species
CGGAGGGUGCAAGCGUUAAUCGGAAUCACUGGGCGUAAAGCGCACGUAGGCGGCUUGGUAAGUCAGGGGUGAAAUCCCACAGCCCAACUGUGGAACUGCCUUUGAUACUGCCAGGCUUGAGUACCGGAGAGGGUGGCGGAAUUCCAGGUGUAGGAGUGAAAUCCGUAGAUAUCUGGAGGAACACCGGUGGCGAAGGCGGCCACCUGGACGGUAACUGACGCUGAGGUGCGAAAGCGUGGGUAGCAAACAGGAUUAAGAUA